ACGAACGCUGGCGGCGUGCUUAACACAUGCCAGUCGAACGGAAAGGCCCCUUUGGGGGUACUCGAGUGGCGAACGGGUGAGUAACACGUGAGUAACCUGCCCUUGACUUCGGGAUAACUUCAGGAAACUGGGGCUAAUACCGGAUAGGAAUCCUUGCUGCAUGGUGGGGGUUGGAAAGCUUCGGCGGGUUUGGAUGGACUCGCGGCUUAUCAGCUUGUUGGUGGGGUAGUGGCUUACCAAGGCUUUGACGGGUAGCCGGCCUGAGAGGGCGACCGGCCACAUUGGGACUGAGAUACGGCCCAGACUCCUACGGGAGGCAGCAGUGGGGAAUAUUGCACAAUGGGCGGAAGCCUGAUGCAGCAACGCCGCGUGCGGGAUGACGGCCUUCGGGUUGUAAACCGCUUUCAGCAGGGGCGAAGCUUGUGGUGACGGUACCUGCAGAAGAAGCACCGGCUAACUACGUG
rnacentral:rRNA from 1 species